UUUCGUCACAUUUAUUUCACAACUUUGUUAGUUUCGUGCGUCAUACGUGAACUGCUACGAGUUUCGAAAUUUCUCCCUUGAAAUGAUAGAACUUAUUUCAUUCCAAAGUGUUAGGGCUUGUUCUAGUCGUUUCAGAAGCAAAGAGCAGUAGUCUACUUCCUGUUUUGAGUUGAUACAAUUUAGCGCUUCCGAAUGUAACUGAGAUAGCGCACACCUUUCAACAAUAGGAUGUCCAGCGCCACCUGUGAAUCCAAUGAGGAAAUUUUAAUCACAAGUAUAGCCUUGGCCUUUCUUCUUCCAUUUAUCGGUGCAAACAGUUGCGGGGAUGCAAUAAGAAAUACUAGUCAGUAAAUUUUUGCUGAUAUAUAUUUCUUUCUUUAAACUAUACAAGUACGACGAGAGCUCAGCGGUCGUCACGUUAGACGGAACGGUAUUUGCAUCUUCCUUCACCCGAUUGCACAGUCUACACUCGAAAUACUACAUACGUACAUCCUGUGCAUGCUGGUGGGUUGUUGUGGUCAUCUUUCAGAAAAUAUUGGGACGUGUAAUAAGUGUAAAGCAAAAAUAAGUUUUUCAACUUGGAAAAAAGACAUAAGAAAGAGGAAUGCCUUA